ACUCCUACGGGAGGCAGCAGUAAGGAAUAUUGGUCAAUGGGCGGAAGCCUGAACCAGCCAUGCCGCGUGCAGGAUGACUGCCCUAUGGGUUGUAAACUGCUUUUGUCCAGGAAUAAACCUUUCUACGUGUAGGAAGCUGAAUGUACUGGAAGAAUAAGGAUCGGCUAACUCCGUGACGGAGGAUCCGAGCGUUACCAGCAGCCGCGGUAAU
rnacentral:rRNA from 1 species